AUGCCAGGAUCACAAGCCGACGAGAUUGACUGGGAGAACUUAACGAACAAGGAGCUUCGUGAUAAGAUUCAGCAAAUGAUGACUGAACAGGUGCAAGAUGUGCUAAACAAUUUUGAAGAGGCCAUGGAGAAGAUCACUGGCCUUGAGAAGACGUUCGAAACAAAGCUCGAUAACAGAUUUAAUGAACUGCUUGCGCGUCUUCCACCACCGUCUGCACCUGCCGCACCUCUGCAACAACAACAACAACAACAACUACUACCUCCACAUCGUGAAACAGCCCUCCGCCGAGCAAGCCGUGUUCCUCUUCAGCCUGGCCAAACUGUUGGUGCUGCUGUUGAUAAUUCUGUGGCUCCUGCUGCUGAUGGGGAGGAGGAUGAUUAUGUGGGAGAUUACGAGGAUGAGGUUGAUCAAAAUCAGAACUACGUGCAACCACCAGCACCACCACCAGCAGGUCGACCUCAGGUAUAUAUUCGUAAUGGUAGGCCUGCACCACCACCUCAGGUACGAGAUGAUGUGCAUAUUCCUAAACUGAAAUUGAAUAUUCCACCAUUUGAGGGUAGAUAUGUUCCUGAUAUAUAUCUUACUUGGGAGUUAGAAACUGAACAACGUUUUACAUGUUUACAAUAUCCCGAGGAGAGACGGGUUGCUGCUGCUGUUUGUGCUUUCACUAGUUUUGCAUGUGUAUGGUGGUCUGAACAUUGUAGAUUAUAUCCUAUUCCAACUACUUGGGCUGCUUUGAAAACUGCUAUGCGUACGCGUUGGGUUCCACCAUAUUAUCAACGUGAAUUGCUUCAAAAAUUGCAGCGCUUAAGACAAGGAAAAAAUUCUAUAGAAGAAUAUUAUCAGGAAUUACAAACUGGCAUGAUUAGAUGUGGUAUUGUUGAGGAGAAUGAAGCUAUGCUUGCACGUUUUCUGGGUGGAUUAAAUAGAGAGAUUCAGACCAUUCUAGACUAUAAGGAGUAUACUAAUAUCACUCGUUUAUUCCAUCUUGCUUGUAAAGCUGAACGUGAAGUGCAGGAUCGACAAGCAUUGGCGUGA
rnacentral:rRNA from 1 species